GGAGCUGUGGCAUAGUGGGUUAAAGCCACCACCUGCAGGGCUGGCAUCCCAUAUGGGCCUUGGUUCGAGUCCUGGCUGCUCCA
rnacentral:tRNA from 1 species